CACCGCCUCCCGCGCACACACGGCCAUGGCGGAGUGGUGUCCAUGGGCUCUGGAGACCAUCAGUUCAACCUCGCAGAGAUCCUGUCACAGAACUACAGUGUUAGGGGGGAGUGCGAGGAGGCCUCGAGGUGCCCAGACAAGCCCAAGGAGGAGCUGGAGAAGGACUUCAUCUCCCAGGUACUUGGCCAAGGUGAUCCUGCCCCUGUGUUGGGUGGAGCCCUCCGGGGUAAGCCUCAUGAGUUUUGUGCAGCUCAGAUUCCACAUUGGUAAGUGCUAAAUUGUACAUCUUUUUGCAAAGUGCCAGAUGCUGUCCUAGUAGCUGAAAUUCAGUGGAGACCAGGUCUUUCAUGGGGCUCUCUGAGCAGCACGGUGGUCAAGGAUUAAGCCAGCUGCUCUCAAAUCUUCUGGUCUCAGAACCUGCUUUGUACUCUUAAAAAUUAUUGAGAGUUUCAGGCUGGGUGC
rnacentral:lncRNA from 10 species